UACGUAGGGGGCAAGCGUUGUCCGGAAUCAUUGGGCGUAAAGAGCGUGUAGGCGGUUCGGUAAGUCGGCUGUGAAAGUCCAGGGCUCAACCCUGGGAUGCCGGUCGAUACUGCCGGACUAGAGUUCGGAAGAGGCGAGUGGAAUUCCUGGUGUAGCGGUGAAAUGCGCAGAUAUCAGGAGGAACACCAAUUGCGAAGGCAGCUCGCUGGGACGUUACUGACGCUGAGACGCGAAAGCGUGGGGAGCAAACAGG
rnacentral:rRNA from 1 species